ACGCUCGACACCUACGGGAGGCAGCAGUGGGGGAUAUUGCACAAUGGGCGAAAGCCUGAUGCAGCGACGCCGCGUGAGGGAAGACGGCCUUGGUUGUAACCUCUGUCAUUCGGGACGAAGAAGAUGACGGUACCGAAGAAGGAAGCUCCGGCUAACUACGUGCCAACAGCCGCGGUAAUCUGAGCGGGCUGGCAAGGC
rnacentral:rRNA from 1 species